CCAGAGAACUUAGCAGAGAUGCUUUGGUGCCUUCGGGAACUCUGAGACAGGUGCUGCAUGGCUGUCGUCAGCUCGUGUUGUGAAAUGUUGGGUUAAGUCCCGCAACGAGCGCAACCCUUAUCCUUUGUUGCCAGCGGCUCGGCCGGGAACUCAAAGGAGACUGCCGGUGAUAAACCGGAGGAAGGUGGGGAUGACGUCAAGUCAUCAUGGCCCUUACGGCCAGGGCUACACACGUGCUACAAUGGUGCAUACAAAGAGAAGCGACCUCGCGAGAGCAAGCGGACCUCAUAAAGUGCGUCGUAGUCCGGAUUGGAGUCUGCAACUCGACUCCAUGAAGUCGGAAUCGCUAGUAAUCGUAGAUCAGAAUGCUACGGUGAAUACGUUCCCGGGCCUUGUACACACCACCCGUCACACCAUGGGAGUGGGUUGCAAAAGAAGUAGGUAGCUUAACCUUCGGGAGGGCGCUUACCACUUUGUGAUUCAUGACUGGGGUGAAGUCGUAACAAGGUAGGCGUAGCGAG
rnacentral:rRNA from 1 species